CUCUUAAACCAACCUAUGGCGGUCACAAGUCCGCAUAUGAAAUGGCGAGUGAGAA
rnacentral:ribozyme from 2 species